UACGUAGGGUGCAAGCGUUGUCCGGAAUUAUUGGGCGUAAAGAGCUCGUAGGCGGUUUGUUGCGUCGGCUGUGAAAUCCCGAGGCUCAACCCCGGGCCUGCAGUGGAUACGGGCUGGCUAGAGGCAGGCAGGGGAGAACGGAAUUCCUGGUGUAGCGGUGAAAUGCGCAGAUAUCAGGAGGAACACCGGUGGCGAAGGCGGUUCUCUGGGCCUGUACUGACGCUGAGGAGCGAAAGCGUGGGGAGCGAACAGG
rnacentral:rRNA from 1 species